AAUAAGGCCGGAUAGUUCACAAUGCCUGGAACGGUUUGUGGAUAAAGGUAGGAUGGGUCUGCGGCGUAUCAGGUUGUAGGGGGUGUAACGGACCCCCUAGCCAUCGACGCGUACGGGUGUUGGGAGACAUAGCCCGGAGAUGGAUUCUGAGACACGAAUCCAGACCCUACGGGGUGCAGCAGGCGCGAAAACUUCACACUGCAGGAAACUGUGAUGAGGGAACUCCAAGUGUGUGCAUUUUAUGUACACUUUUCUGAACUCUUAAUCGGUUCAGGAAUAAGGGCUGGGAAAGACCGGUGCCAGCCGCCGCGGUAAUACCGGCAGCUCAAGUGGUCGUCGCUUUUAUUGGGCCUAAAACGUCCGUAGCCUGUUUGGUAAAUCUGUGGGUAAAUCAACCAGCUUAACUGGUUGAAUUCUGCAGAGACUGCCAGACUAGGGACCGGGAGAGGUGUGGGGUACUCGAGGGGUAGGGGUAAAAUCCUGUCAUCCUUCGAGGACCACCAGUUGCGAAGGCGCCACACUGGAACGGAUCCGACGGUCAGGGACGAAGCCUAGGGGCACGAACCGGAUUAGAUACCCGGGUAGUCCUAGGUGUAAACGCUGUGAACUUGGUGUCGGGGGUCCGCAAGGGGUCCCCGGUGCCGGAGUGAAGAUGUUAAGUUCACUGCCUGGGGAGUACGGUCGCAAGGCUGAAACUUAAAGGAAUUGGCGGGGGAGCACUGCAACGGGAGGAGCGUGCGGUUUAAUUGGACUCAACGCCGGGA
rnacentral:rRNA from 1 species